rnacentral:rRNA from 1 species
AUACGUAGGGAGCGAGCGUUGUCCGGAUUUACUGGGUGUAAAGGGCGCGUAGGCGGGGAUGCAAGUCAGGAGUGAAAUGCAUGGGCUUAACCCAUGAACUGCUUUUGAAACUGCAUUUCUUGAGUACUGGAGAGGCAGGCGGAAUUCCUAGUGUAGCGGUGAAAUGCGUAGAGAUCGGGAGGAACACCAGUGGCGAAGGCGGGUAACUGGACUGCAACUGACGCUGAGGAGCGAAAGUGUGGGGAGCGAACAGGAUUAGAAACCCUAGUAGUCC